rnacentral:rRNA from 1 species
AUAAACGCUGGCGGCGCACAUAAGACAUGCAAGUCGAACGGAAGUCGUUGUAAUGAUAUAGACAUGGACUGAGAACUUGUUCAAAGAAAAUGAAAGUUGACUUACAACAAUGGCUUUAGUGGCGGACUGGUGAGUAACACGUAAGCAACCUGCCUAUCAGAGGGGAACAACAGUUAGAAAUGACUGCUAAUACCGCAUAGGCAUAAGUACCACAUGGUACAAUAGGGAAAGGAGCAAUCUGCUGAUAGAUGGGCUUGCGUCUGAUUAGAUAGUUGGUGGGGUAACGGCCUACCAAGUCAACGAUCAGUAGCCGGACUGAGAGGUUGAACGGCCACAUUGGGACUGAGAUACGGCCCAGACUCCUACGGGAGGCAGCAGUCGGGAAUAUUGCGCAAUGGAGGAAACUCUGACGCAGUGACGCCGCGUGCAGGAAGAAGGUUUUCGGAUUGUAAACUGCUUUAGACAGGGAAGAAUAAAGACAGUACCUGUAGAAUAAGCUCCGGCUAACUACGUGCCAGCAGCCGCGGUAAUACGUAGGGAGCGAGCGUUAUCCGGAUUUAUUGGGUGUAAAGGGUGCGUAGACGGGAAAUUAAGUUAGUUGUGAAAUCCCUCGGCUUAACUGAGGAACUGCAACUAAAACUGGUUUUCUUGAGUGCUGGAGAGGAAAGUGGAAUUCCUAGUGUAGCGGUGAAAUGCGUAGAUAUUAGGAGGAACACCAGUGGCGAAGGCGACUUUCUGGACAGUAACUGACGUUGAGGCACGAAAGUGUGGGGAGCAAACAGGAUUAGAUACCCUGGUAGUCCACACCGUAAACGAUGGAUAUUAGGUGUAGGGUGUGAUAAACAUUCUGUGCCGUCGCAAACGCAAUAAGUAUCCCACCUGGGGAGUACGGCCGCAAGGUUGAAACUCAAAGGAAUUGACGGGGGCCCGCACAAGCAGUGGAGUAUGUGGUUUAAUUCGACGCAACGCGAAGAACCUUACCAGGGCUUGACAUAUACAGGAAUAUAUAAGAGAUUAUAUAGCUCUUCGGAGUCUGUAUACAGGUGGUGCAUGGUUGUCGUCAGCUCGUGUCGUGAGAUGUUGGGUUAAGUCCCGCAACGAGCGCAACCCCUGUUCUUAGUUGCCAGCACAUAAUGGUGGGAACUCUAAGAAGACUGCCGGUGAUAAAUCGGAGGAAGGUGGGGACGACGUCAAAUCAUCAUGCCCUUUAUGUCCUGGGCUACACACGUACUACAAUGGCUAUUACAGAGGGAAGCGAAGCCGCGAGGUGGAGCAAAACCCAAAAAAGUAGUCUCAGUUCGGAUUGAAGGCUGAAAUUCGCCUUCAUGAAGCCGGAAUUGCUAGUAAUGGCAGGUCAGCAUACUGCCGUGAAUACGUUCCCGGGCCUUGUACACACCGCCCGUCACACCAUGAGAGUUGGGGAUACCCGAAGCCUGUGAGCUAACUUUUAGAGGCAGCAGUCGAAGGUAGAAUCAAUGAUUGGGGUG